UUGGUGCCUUCGGGAACUCUGACACAGGUGCUGCAUGGCUGUCGUCCAGCUCGUGUCGUGAGAUGUUGGGUUAAGUCCGUAACGAGCGCAACCCUUGUCCUUAGUUACCAGCACGUUAUGGUGGGCACUCUAAGGAGACUGCCGGUGACAAACCGGAGGAAGGUGGGGGAUGACGUCAAGUCAUCAUGGCCCUUACGGCCUGGGCUACACACGUGCUACAAUGGUCGGUACAAAGGGUUGCCAAGCCGCGAGGUGGAGCUAAUCCCAUAAAACCGAUCGUAGUCCGGAUCGCAGUCUGCAACUCGACUGCGUGAAGUCGGAAUCGCUAGUAAUCGUGAAUCAGAAUGUCACGGUGAAUACGUUCCCGGGCCUU
rnacentral:rRNA from 1 species